rnacentral:lncRNA from 1 species
AUAAUAAUUAAUCAUCAAAUGGAAGGUCACAUGUUCUCAACCAGGUUGCUAUGAUACCACAUGUAAAAUUUAACUUGCAUGAUUAUAUAGAGUUAUUUUAUGGAUUGUCCAACUAAAAAUCAUAUGACGAUAGCACAAAAACGUUUUUUCUGUUUAUAUUUAAUGAUUUUACAAGUCUUGAGUCAUCAAACAGGUAGAACCAAGCGUUAGGAUUACAAACCAAACGGGACUCAAGUGCAGCAACGUAGAAAGAAGAAGCAAAAUGCCAAAAUGUCUCUGAGGGGAGGGCAUUGUGCAACGCUGCAAAUGUUGCACGCGCCAUAUCUAAGUCAGUAGACAUGCUUUGGCAUGAUGCGAAUUCGAAAAGGCUAUGAUGCAUUGAGUGUCAUGACGACACUUUUGAUAUUUGAAGUAGGAGAUGCUCGUGUAAGAGCGAUGCAGAGCUUUGAUCUCCCUGAUGUUAUUGUCAUCCUUCUUCUGUAUACCUUACUAUUCUUGCUCAAUCAGGACCUGUAUUAAUCUUUCUUCAUCAAUUUGAAGGUUGAUUUCUUGGCUAAGGUACGUUGUUUCAGCAUGCAUGGCUGUUUAGAUCAAGUUUUCCCGUUUUAUGAUUAAUUUUUUAGAUUAACAUUCUUGUUUCUACAUUUUAUCUCCAGAAUGAAUUGAUUAUCGAUCAAUUUAUCAAUGAAUUGUCUGAAAAACAAUCCUAGAUUGAAUGAUUAAUUGCUAUUGAUUCAAACUUCGUUCAUUAGUCCCUAAAUUACUAAGUAGCAAGAGGUUAGAUUAACCACCGAUGAACAUCGUUUUACACAAGCCAAGCGAAAAUCACAUCAAGAUUGUACUCAAGCAUUAUCAAUUAGAAUUUGAUUCUAUAACAUAAUCCCUAAAAGUUUAUAUAUGCAAUUUGUGUUAUCCAGUGGUUACCAUUUGCUCAUCUACUGAUCAUGUUGGAUAAUUAUAUAAGUUAAUUAAGAUAGCCGGUUAGUAUAAUUAUUACUAAUCAGUUUGGUUGAGCAUAGACAAUAUUGCAAUCUAUAUCAGUUGGAUGAUGAAUUAAGCUGAUUAGGAAAAAGUUCGAAAUGAACCCAAACUGUACCUUUAUAAUCAUGAUUUCACAACUCUCUCUUGCUUUCUUUUUGCCUACAAUUUUACCUCUUACAUAAUUUAUUUUCUUGCUUCUGCUAAUUCUUGCGAACACCAAACAAAACCAUCUUUUGGUUACCUCAGAGACUGUAAGCAUUAGAAAAUACAACGGUUUUUGUGGUUCGACCUGUACUACAUAAAUAUAUAUACGAUGCAUAAUUAAGAUAGACACGCAAAUUUAUUUGAUUAUUCAUCAGAGGAUUCAACACCCCCUUGGGUGUGAGUUAUCAUACGACUCUGAAAUAUUCCUCCAUUCUUGAUCAUGAACCACACUUAAACUCUUGAGUCUUUGUUUGCAUGUUUUCAAAUGAAGAAACUGUAAAACAAUAUUCGUAUAUCUUGCAAUGAUGUAAUACAAUAUUUUUCUGUUUUUACAAGUAAAAUCAUCAUUCCAGUUUACCAAAAUUGGUACAUCUUGCAACAAUGUCAGUACGUCGCAAAAUAAAAAGUAGAAAGAGUUCAAUGACAAUGGUAGCAUUUUGGUUUGUGGUCAAAGAAUUCAAGCCACAUGUUAAGUUCUUAGAAAGCUUCAACAGAAUUGGAGGAUCUCAUGUGACUUUACCAAUAAGCUAAGAUCAAUGAAGGUAAAAAAACAGACCAUGGAGAGAGGUUGGCAAUUAUGGCUAGGAGAAGAAAGUGAUGAAGGUAAUGAAUAUCCAAAAAAUUCACUAUAAAAAAAUUAUAAAGAAGUAGCUGCAACUUAAUUUCAAGUAUGGAGGAGACGCUUCAAACUUCAAAGCUGGCUAAAUGUUUCAAAGUUUGAUAUGAAAACUAAUUAUUUUCAUACUCAUCUUUGUUUUCCCAAAAUGAAUUUAGAUGAAGGAUCGGUUCACAGAGUUCUAAAGAAAUUAAAGUGAAGCUUGGUGUUGUUGCACAUGAGGACGCUGAGGGAUGUUAAAAUUUCUAUUAGAAUUUGAUAGUUUGAUGGACAAAAUUUAUUUACAAACAUAGUAAAAUAUUUACAAAUGAAUAACAUCUUGUUUUAUUUUAAAAUAUUUUUAACGAUUUUAUCAUUUC